rnacentral:pre_miRNA from 1 species
UCAUAUGGAGAGCAAAGAAAGUGGUUUCUUGACGUGGAACCUACUCCUGGUGAAGAUGCUGUGAA